GAAGGCGUGGCUGUCAAUAUUCGUUGGCAUAAUGCGAGCCCAUGUUACCACCCGAAUGAAUGGCCCAGUAUUCAUAUCCUGGAACGGAAACCCUAUGAAUUCUGUGCACAUCACUAAGGCAGUACAAUCUGUCUUUAAAAAAGCUGGAGUGGAUGUUAAAGUAACAUCGACAUCGUUUCGGAAAGCAGCAGUGACGAAAGUUAAUGUCGAUAAGCCAGAGAUGAGUGCGAAAUUGGCUAGCCUUAUGGCUCACAACGAAGCGACGGCAAAGAGAUAUUAUCUCCUGACAGAGAAAUCCAAAACUUCCAUAGAGGCUUCACGAAAUCUUGGUCGCCUGAUGCGAACUGAUGACGAGUGUGGAGAUAACAUUGAGACUCCUUCAUAUGGCAGUUCAUUUAGCUACGUUAAAUACGAGAAAUACAACGGGUCAAAGACAAGAUUCUCUCCACGGAUUCUGCGUAGAAGGAUCGACUUGCUUUUUCCGGACAAAGAAGUCUAUUAAUGAAGUAUGAAUAUUUAUGGAAGACGAAAUCCGAAUUGCAAUUCUCUAAUGAAUACAUUUGUCAUUGGAAUAUGGAAUUUUAGAAUUAUUCCAGUGCCGAGUUAUAUGGAAUAAAGAAAAGGGUAUGCAGUCUUGACGAGGAACUGCCUUCUCAUUGGUUGAUUUUUGAUGAAAAACGGCUUCUGAGAGCUCUGCAUCAUUUUCCGCCUUUAUUAUCUAUAGUCACCAAUUUUGUCGAAGGUCGCCUUACAAUUUAACAUGAAAUAUUGCUGUGCCUUCUAUAAAUGGCCAGCAAUACAAUAUGCACACGCAACCAAAGGAAUGCACCCGAUUAGGUUAAAUAAAUGCCGCUAUUCUAUUUCUCUUUUUAAAAACCCGCUUAGACCAGUUCAUGCCCCUUGCUUCAACGUUUUAGGUGCAAAGUAAUACGGAAAGAUGCAAUUUAGGUGCCAUAGAGGAGUGAAGUUAGGUUUUGCUAUAAAAAUUUAAGUUUAAAAAAGAGAAAGUUAUCAAGAGUUAUUAAGGAAUAUUUAGGUAGUUUAGCUAUAUUAAAACGAACCAUGUUUACUCGACAAAAUGCAUGUGUGAUAGACAGUAAAAAGACACUGCAUGUUAAGAAUUAAAGUUUUUAUUGUCAAUAAAAAUAUAUCUCCAUGAA